rnacentral:tRNA from 1 species
ACCCUGGAACCAACCUCAGGGAAGAGCA